CACCUCGAGGGUAUAUAACCUAAGAUAUCCUCGUAUGUUUUAGUUGCAGAACUAAGGUCUAAAACUACUAUACAGCUGAUUUAUGUACCUUGUAUAUUAAAAACAAAAAGUGACAGAAAAAUGCGAGCUGCUUAUUUCGCCGUAGCCUUGUGCCUGCUAGCAUGUCUUGUCCAGGCUGAACAUCACAACCCUCGAGAUAGAAGAGACCUCUCAGAGAAGUCAAACGAACAAGAAUCAAGAUCUGUGUCAAACAUUGAAAAACGGAAAGAAAAAAGAGGCUUCUGGGGCACUGUUGGGGCGAUAGCUGUGGGAGCCGCCCUUGGAUAAAGGAAACUUUAAAAAUGAUAUAUUGAUGGGUACAAUAAAAAUAUAAGAAUAAGCUAA